rnacentral:SRP_RNA from 1 species
UCUGGGCACGGUGGCACACACCUGUAGUCCCAGCCACUUAGGAGACUGAGGCAGGAAAAUCACUUGAGCACUAUGCCAGUCAGGUAUCCACACUAAGUUCAGCGUCGAUAUGGUGACCUCCCAGAAGCAGGGGAACCACUAGAUUGCCUAAGGAGGGUGAACCAGCCCAAGUCAGAAAUGCAGCAGGUCAAAACUCCUGUGCUGAUCAGCAGUGUGAUUGCAUCUGUGAAUAGCCACCACACACGAGACUAGGCAAUUUAGUGAGACCCUCAUCU